AACAACGCUGGCGGCGUGCCUAACACAUGCAAGUCGUACGAGAAGUCGGCUUCGGCCGAUGAGUACAGUGGCGCACGGGUGAGUAGCGCGUGGGUAAUCUGCCCCCCGGUCAGGAAUAACCCGCCGAAAGGCGGGCUAAUACCCGAUAACACUGACGCUCCGCGGAGCGUCUUUCAAAGGAGGCCUCUGUUUACAAGCUUUCGCCGGAGGAUGAGCCCGCGUACCAUUAGCUAGUUGGCAGGGUAAUGGCCUACCAAGGCUGCGAUGGUUAGCUGGUCUGAGAGGAUGGCCAGCCACACUGGAACUGAGACACGGUCCAGACUCCUACGGGAGGCAGCAGUAAGGAAUAUUGGGCAAUGGAGGCAACUCUGACCCAGCCAUGCCGCGUGCAGGAAGACGGCCCUACGGGUUGUAAACUGCUUUUAAUAGGGAGUAAAAUCAGCUACGUGUAGUUGAUUGCAAGUACCUAUAGAAUAAGCAUCGGCUAACUCCGUG
rnacentral:rRNA from 1 species